GCGUUAAACAAUCGUCCUCGCCGGAAAU
rnacentral:piRNA from 1 species